GGGGAAUUUUGGACAAUGGGCGCAAGCCUGAUCCAGCAAUGCCGCGUGCAGGAUGAAGGCCUUCGGGUUGUAAACUGCUUUUGUACGGAGCGAAAAGGCUCUCUCUAAUACGGGGAGUUCAUGACGGUACCGUAAGAAUAAGCACCGGCUAACUACGUGCAAGCAGCCGCGGUAAUACGUAGGGUGCGAGCGUUAAUCGGAAUUACUGGGCGUAAAGCGUGCGCAGGCGGUUUUGUAAGACAGAUGUGAAAUCCCCGGGCUCAACCUGGGACCUGCAUUUGUGACUGCAAGGCUAGAGUACGGUAGAGGGGGAUGGAAUUCCGCGUGUAGCAGUGAAAUGCGUAGAUAUGCGGAGGAACACCGAUGGCGAAGGCAAUCCCCUGGACCUGUACUGACGCUCAUGCACGAAAGCGUGGGGAGCAAAC
rnacentral:rRNA from 1 species